rnacentral:rRNA from 1 species
UACGUAGGGUGCGAGCGUUAAUCGGAAUUACUGGGCGUAAAGGGUGCGUAGGCGGUUCGUUAAGUCUGUCGUGAAAUCCCCGGGCUCAACCUGGGAAUGGCGAUGGAUACUGGCGAGCUAGAGUGUGUCAGAGGAUGGUGGAAUUCCCGGUGUAGCGGUGAAAUGCGUAGAGAUCGGGAGGAACAUCAGUGGCGAAGGCGGCCAUCUGGGACAACACUGACGCUGAAGCACGAAAGCGUGGGGAGCAAACAGG